UUACUGCAGUGAUGAAUUAUGAAGUUUAUUCACAUGUCAGACUUCAGAGAUUUUCGAAUCAAUGAGAAGAGAAUUUCAUUUUCUGAGCAGUUG